UAGUCCACGCCCUAAACGAUGAAUGUUAGUCGUCGGGUAGCUAGUCUAUUCGGUGAUGCAGCUAACGCAUUAAGUAGACCGCCUGGGGAGUACGGCCGCAAGAUUAAAAUUCAAAGGAAUUGACGGGGGCCCGCACAAGCGGUGGAGCAUGUGGUUUAAUUCGAUGCAACGCGAAGAACCUUACCAACCCUUGACAUCCUGAUCGCGGUUACACGAGAGUGUUUCCUUCAGUUCGGCUGGAUCAGUGACAGGUGCUGCAUGGCUGUCGUCAGCUCGUGUCGUGAGAUGUUCGGUUAAGUCCGGCAACGAGCGCAACCCACAUCUCUAGUUGCCAGCAGUUCGGCUGGGCACUCUAUGGAAACUGCCCGUGAUAAGCGGGAGGAAGGUGUGGAUGACGUCAAGUCCUCAUGGCCCUUACGGGUUGGGCUACACACGUGCUACAAUGGCAGUGACAAUGGGUUAAUCCCCAAAACUGUCUCAGUUCGGAUUGGGU
rnacentral:rRNA from 1 species